UACGGGGGGGGCAAGCGUUGUUCGGAAUUACUGGGCGUAAAGGGCUCGUAGGCGGCCAACUAAGUCGGACGUGAAAUCCCUCGGCUCAACCGGGGAACUGCGUCCGAUACUGGAUGGCUUGAGUUCGGGAGAGGGAUGCGGAAUUUCAGGUGUAGCGGUGAAAUGCGUAGAUAUCUGGAGGAACACCGGUGGCGAGGGCGGCAUCCUGGACCGACACUGACGCUGAGUGAGCGAAAGCCAGGGGAGCAAACGGG
rnacentral:rRNA from 1 species